AUGUUAUGAUGAUGGUUGUAUAGC
rnacentral:siRNA from 1 species